rnacentral:tRNA from 1 species
GUUGUCGCUCAGUGGUAGAUCGCUUGCCUAGCAUGUGUGAGGCACUGGGUUCAAUCCUCAGCACCACA